GGGCCGGUGGUCUAGUGGCUAAGUUAUUCCAUAAAUGACAAGACGUUUACACCGUCUAGAUCGAAGGUUCAAAUCCUUCUCGGCCCA
rnacentral:tRNA from 1 species